rnacentral:rRNA from 1 species
GAUCUUUCGACAAUGUCGAAAGCCUGACGCAGCAACGCCGCGUGCGGGAGGACGGCCAUAGGGAUGUCAACCGCUUUUCGGGGGGAAGAGGAAGGACGGUACCCCCGGAAGAAGUCGCGGCUAACUACGUGCCAUCAGCCGCGGUAAAACGUAGGAGGCGAGCGUUAUCCGGAUUUACUGGGUGUAAAGCGCGUGUAGGCGGUCCUGCAAGUGGUGCGUGAAAGCGCCCGGCUCAACCGGGCGAGGACGUGGGCGAACUGCAGGGCUAGAGGCAGGUAGAGGCGUGUGGAAUUCCGGGUGUAGUGGUGAAAUGCGUAGAGAUCCGGAGGAACACCAGUGGCGAAGGCGACACGCUGGGCCUGGCCCGACGCUGAGAGGCGAAAGCAUGGGGAGCGAACGGG